GUGAAUCAUCGAAUUUUUGAACGCAAAUUGCACUCUCCUCGGAGAGUAUGCCUGUUUGAGGGUCAGCCUAUAAAAAUCGACAUCGUUGCGGUUUCGCGGGGGGGUUCGUGGGAAAUUGGGUAAUCUUAAAUCCUUUUGAUUUAAGCGACUUAAAAUGUUCUUUUGGUUCAAUGAACGUUUCUAAGAUCUAUUUCUUAAAACGUUAAAGGAAUGGAUUUUUACUAGAGGU
rnacentral:misc_RNA from 1 species